rnacentral:rRNA from 1 species
UACGGGAGGCAGCAGUGGGGGAUAUUGCACAAUGGGGGGAACCCUGAUGCAGCGACGCCGCGUGGGUGAAGAAGUAUUUCGGUAUGUAAAGCCCUAUCAGCAGGGAAGAUAAUGACGGUACCUGAGUAAGAAGCCCCGGCUAA